UACGGGGGGGGGCAAGCGUUGUUCGGAAUUACUGGGCGUAAAGGGCUCGUAGGCGGCCAACUAAGUUGGGUGUGAAAACUCUGGGCUUAACCCAGAGCCUGCAUUCAAAACUGAUAGGCUGGAGUUCUGGAGGGGAUAGCGGAAUUCCUGGUGUAGCGGUGAAAUGCGUAGAUAUCAGGAGGAACACCGGUGGCGAAGGCGGCUAUCUGGACAGAAACUGACGCUGAGGCGCGAAAGCUAGGGGAGCAAACAGG
rnacentral:rRNA from 1 species